rnacentral:rRNA from 1 species
UACGUAGGGGGCAAGCGUUGUCCGGAUUUAUUGGGCGUAAAGAGCGUGUAGGCGGCUUCACAGGUCCGCUGUGAAAACUCGAGGCUCAACCUCGAGCUGUCGGUGGAAACCGUGUGGCUAGAGUCCGGAAGAGGAGAGUGGAAUUCCCGGUGUAGCGGUGAAAUGCGCAGAUAUCGGGAAGAACACCCGUGGCGACGGCGGCUCUCUGGGACGGUACUGACGCUGAGACGCGAAAGCGUGGGGAGCGAACAGG